CCGAGUACCGGGUCUUCGGGCCCUGCUCCCACCCUAUGUGUACCUACCUCUGUUUCGUUGCCUCGGCGGGGUUGAUCCUGCGCGGCCCCUGCGGCCGCCUGGGGGACCCGCCGGGGGGACACACUCUAAACUCUAAUUUAACGUCGAGUCUGAGAAAACACGAAUAAGUCA
rnacentral:misc_RNA from 1 species